UUUGUUACAAGCCACAGAACCUAUGUAUUCAAGUCAGUUUUAGAAGAAAAUGAACUUGCUAAGUGAUCUGAGGGAAUGUAUGGAAUCUUUGGGAGAGCCAGAGAAUCAGUUUUGGAAGUGUCGGGGUUAAAAGAAGGGCCAGAAUUACAUGGAACUGCUCUUGAUGGAGACCCUGCCGCUGCCUUCACUGGGCUUUGGAACUGGUGCCCAGGUAUGCAUUUCUUUCUGCAGUUAUAACAAAUUAACACACACGUAGAUUAAAACAAUACCAUAUAUUCUCUUACAGUUCUGGAGGGCAGAAGUUCAAAAUGGGCCUUGCUGGGCUAAAAUCAAGGUGUGGCAGGGUUGCUUUCCUUUCUAGAGGUUCUAGGGGAGUGUGAUUUUCCUUGCCUUUUCCAACUUCUGGAGGCCACCUGCAUCCUUGGCUCAUGGCCCCUCCUCCAUCUUCACAGCCAGCAGUGUGGCUUCAAAUCUUUCUCUCUUACUUCUGCUUUCAUUACCGUGUCUCUUCCUCUCCCUCUGCUUCCAUCCUCACAUCACCUUCUCUGAUUCUGAACCUCCCACCUCAUCCCUUAUAAGAACCCUUGUGAUUACAUUGAGCUCACCCAGAUAAUCUAAGACCAUCUCUCCAUCUCAAGAUCCUUAACUUGAUUCCAUCUGCAAAAUCCUCUCUGCCAUGUGAGUUAAUGCAUUCAUAUUCAGGUUCCAACAAUUGAGACAUUGACAUCUUUGGGAGCUCAUUAUUCUUCCACACAGUACUGUAGCUUCUCUCUCAAACUCUGGUCUCAGGGACCUCCUUGAAGGACCUCACCUCUCUUUGUCUCUGAAAUGCUGGCUGUCACUGCUGCAUCCACCCUCACCAGAAUGUCUGCAGCCCAGGCCUGCUGCUUCACGUCCAUAGAUUCCAAAUCAGAGUCUUACAGAGUUGUAUGUGAUCAGGGUGUCUGGAUCGUAUGCCCAAACCUCAGCUAUAAGAGUGGCCCAGAGAACAAGUUUUGACUUCUUCCUUAGGAGCAAGCAGGCUCAUGAUGCUGGGAGGUGGCUGGGGCCGGGGGUGGGGGGCGGGUGUUCAAAAGUUGAUAGGGGCCAGGCACAGUGGCUCAUGCCUGUAACCCCAACACUUUAGGAGGCUGAGGCAGGAGGGUUACUUGAGCCCAGGAGUUCAACACUAGCCUGGGCAACAGAGUGAGACCACAUCUCUACAAAACAAUUAAAAAAAAAAAAAAAAUAGCCGAGCAUGGUGGCGCAGCUGUAGUCCCAGCUUACUCCUGAGGCUGAGGCAGGAGGAUCACUUGAGCCUGGGAGGUUGAGACUCCAGUAAGCUACGAUCUCAACAUUGCACUCCAGCCUGGGUGACAGAGUGAGAUUCCAUCUCAAGAAACAAAACGAAAGUUAAUAGGUGGCCAAAAGCAUGACGAAUAGCUGCAAAACCUAGCCAAACCUCGGGUCAUACCAUGAGUUCUGUUGCCAGUUCCACACUUAGGAGGAAUGUAAGCAAACUGGAGCCAGGACAGAGAUGGCAGGGAUGAUGCAGGAGUCUGACAUUGUGAGUCCAGGGUGUUCAUAGACUGGAGGACAUAAGGAUAGUUUUAAAAGACACAUGAUUGAGGUUUCCUAAUGAGCGAGAGCUUGCACAUGGAAGAGAACUUAGACCUGUCUUGUGUGUCUCCAGCGUUC
ensembl:lncRNA